UACGUAGGAGGCAAGCGUUGUCCGGAAUUACUGGGCGUAAAGCGCGUGUAGGUGGUGGUACAAGUCUGCUGUGAAAGCGCCUGGCUUAACCGGGCGAGGUCGGCGGAAACUGUCCGACUCGAGGACGGUAGAGGGGGGUGGAAUUUCCGGUGGAGCGGUGAAAUGCGUAGAGAUCGGAAAGAACACCAACGGCGAAAGCACUCUGCUGGGCCGACACUGACACUGAGAGACGAAAGCUAGGGGAGCGAAUGGG
rnacentral:rRNA from 1 species